rnacentral:lncRNA from 1 species
AUCGAAAUAUCCCUCGUUUCCCACGCUUCGAAUUUGAGCACACCCCCUAGCACUUUUGCUACUUUUGCCUAUUAUAGCUGCUGUCCCUUUCUCCUUCGAAUCCCAAUUUUCCACCAGGUGUUUGUUUCCAAUUUUUCUCAAGGCACGCGUCCAUUGGGUUGAACAUUUUUUUCCUCGUUAAAGGCGGCGUUUUCUGCCACCUUUUUUCUGGUAUGUGCUGAAUCUCCCCGUCUGUUUGAUUUUGUUGGUAAAUUCUUAUCGGAAUUUUGGCUUCUCUUUUUUUUGCCCCCUCAAAAUUCUCAUGGGUGAUUGAUUAAUAUGUCGUUUUGAAAUAAAUACCUUAUUCUGUGCAGAUUUUUGGCUAUUGCAAGGGCAUCUAGGUAGGCAUUGGAUCCUUUUAUUUUCUUGGGAAGGGUGGUUGGGUUUGUUGGACGAAAGGAUCAAAUGCUGUUUUCUGAUUAAAAACUUUACAUUUAUUAUAAAACCUUUGUCUGAAAAUAUGGGUUAAUUGAUUGAAACAUUUGGUGUUUUAAUGUGUGCGAAAUUUGCAAGUUUCAGAGG